rnacentral:rRNA from 1 species
CAGUCGCCGCGGGAAUACGUAGGGUGCGAGCGUUAAUCGGAAUUACUGGGCGUAAAGCGUGCGCAGGCGGUUUGUUAAGUCAGAUGUGAAAUCCCCGAGCUUAACUUGGGAACUGCAUUUGAAACUGGCAAGCUAGAGUCUUGUAGAGGGGGGUAGAAUUCCAGGUGUAGCGGUGAAAUGCGUAGAGAUCUGGAGGAAUACCGGUGGCGAAGGCGGCCCCCUGGACAAAGACUGACGCUCAGGUGCGAAAGCGUGGGGAGCAAACAGGAUUAGAUACCCCGGUAGUCCCUGUCUCUUAUAA